AGAAGGAGCUCUCAUGUAACGGUCUCCGUACAAUACAACUUGCUUACAUUUUGCGCUAGAUGCAUAUAUAUAACGAAUUUGAAAAUACCGUGAAUCAAUUGGACACAAGGGCGGAGAAUCGAAUUUGAGGGGGAUGGACUUCAUUCGUUAUUUUUGGGUCAUACCCCCGAGCACAGACUGCGUGUUCAGAUAGUAUUUACUGUGGAUGACGGUUUAUGGGAUUUUUUAUUAAAUAUUUCCAACCAGUUGUAGGCUAACUGCUUUGGGUACCAGUUGAUCAGCUCGCUCUUCCUCAGAGAGCCCUCCUCAUCCACUGCCAGGCAGACACACAGAUGUGUCUUACUGUCUUCAAACUUCUGCAUGUGGAGGACCAGGAGGUUGGAGAUUCUUCUGUACUCGGAGAAGGUCAUCUUGAAAGCCGGCUGGGCGGCGGCAACGCUCUUCUCUGACCGGAUUGGCUGCUGGUCUACAUCCACAGCCUUUCCAGGGUGACCAUUGGUCCCCUCGGUUCCACUGGUCCCAUUGGUUCCCUGUGACUCUGCCCCCAGCAUGUCGUGAUCUAAAACACGUUCAGGGUGGGAAGGGGCAGUCUACAGAACACAAUCUCUAUAUAGUAUAUUUAAUUACAGAUGUCUGAAUAUAUUGUAUUUCGAGUCAAUACGAUAUAUACACCCAACACUGUAUAGAGAGGCGAGUGCACUACUUGAUGCUAUGAACCACAGAGGUAGUUGUAAGUGUCCGUUAGCACAGUGUCUGACCAGUGAUGUCCUGUGAGUCCGGCUGGUCCUGGUCAAAGCUGAUGUCGGGAGAGUCCACCCGGAUGAUGGACUUAUUCAAC